CAAGUCGAGGGGCAGCAUUUUAGUUUGCUUGCAAACUGAAGAUGGCGACCGGCGCACGGGUGAGUAACACGUAUCCAACCUGCCGAUAACUCCGGAAUAGCCUUUCGAAAGAAAGAUUAAUACCGGAUAGCAUACGAAUAUCGCAUGAUAUUUUUAUUAAAGAAUUUCGGUUAUCGAUGGGGAUGCGUUCCAUUAGUUUGUUGGCGGGGUAACGGCCCACCAAGACUACGAUGGAUAGGGGUUCUGAGAGGAAGGUCCCCACAUUGGAACUGAGACACGGUCCAAACUCC
rnacentral:rRNA from 1 species